UCAGGAUGAACGCUAGCGACAGGCCUAACACAUGCAAGUCGAGGGGCAGCGGAGAGGUAGCAAUACCUUUGCCGGCGACCGGCGCACGGGUGAGUAACACGUAUGCAAUCCACCUGUAACAGGGGGAUAACCCGGAGAAAUCCGGACUAAUACCCCAUAAUAUGGGCGCUCCGCAUGGAGGGUCCAUUAAAGAGAGCAAUUUUGGUUACAGACGAGCAUGCGCUCCAUUAGCCAGUUGGCGGGGUAACGGCCCACCAAGGCGACGAUCAGUAGGGGUUCUGAGAGGAAGGUCCCCCACAUUGGAACUGAGACACGGUCCAAACUCCUACGGGAGGCAGCAGUGAGGAAUAUUGGUCAAUGGACGAGAGUCUGAACCAGCCAAGUAGCGUGCAGGAUGACGGCCCUAUGGGUUGUAAACUGCUUUUAUAAGGGAAUAAAGUGGGAGUCGUGACUCUUUUUGCAUGUACCUUAUGAAUAAGGACCGGCUAAUUCCGUG
rnacentral:rRNA from 1 species